CCUACGGGAGGCAGCAGUGAGGAAUAUUGGUCAAUGGGAGAGAUCCUGAACCAGCCAAGCCGCGUGAGGGAAGACGGCCCUAUGGGUUGUAAACCUCUUUUGUCGGAGAACAAAACCCGGGACGUGUCCCGGACUGCGUGUAUCCCAAGAAAAAGCAUCGGCUAACUCCGUGCCAGCAGCCGCGGUAAUACGGAGGAUCGGAGCGUUAUCCGGAUUUAUUGGGUUUAAGGGGUGCGCAGGCGGACUGUCAAGCCAGCGGUAAAAUUUCGGGGCUCAACCCCGUAGUGCCGUUGAAACUGGCGUUCUUGAGUGAGCGAGAGGUAUGCGGAAUGCGUGGUGUAGCGGUGAAAUGCAUAGAUAUCACGCAGAACUCCGAUUGCGAAGGCAGCAUGCCGGCGCUCAACUGACGCUCAUGCACGAAAGCGUGGGUAUCGAACAGGAUUAGAUACCCGGGUAGUC
rnacentral:rRNA from 1 species